GUGUUCCAGGCCAUUAGAUCUGAACCUACGUGGUAAUGAGUCAUAUGGACCUAUGCAUGAAAACGUGACGAAGGAAACAAUUAAACAAAGGAUCACUACUAGACCACAACCAAGAGACUCGAUGAUCACUUCCCAAUUUUAUAGGGGAAGUUCCAAUUCGGCGACCGAACCUAAGGUCGAAGAACCACAUGAUGAGUUCGGUUCUCGCGGGGCCCAUAAGUGAGCCCAACCAUAAGAACUUUUGGAUAAAAAAGUUCCAUUCUGUGGUCGACACGUAGCUAGUGAGUAGUGACCAACAAUCACAUGUGUGACGGUGCAGCACCGGAUAAGUCAUUCCUUUCCAUAACCUUUUUAUUUUCAAACGGAACAUCAUCACGUUUAAGUUUUCCUAAUCCUUUUCUGAUAAGAGAAUGAAACG